rnacentral:tRNA from 1 species
GGGCGGUUAGCUCAGUUGGUUAGAGCGCAUGCUUCACACGUAUGAGGUCACAGGUUCGAAUCCCGUACCGCCCA